AGAGCGAACGCUGGCGGCAGGCUUAACACAUGCAAGUCGAGCGGGCGUAGCAAUACGUCAGCGGCAGACGGGUGAGUAACGCGUGGGAACGUACCUUUUGGUUCGGAACAACACAGGGAAACUUGUGCUAAUACCGGAUAAGCCCUUACGGGGAAAGAUUUAUCGCCAAAAGAUCGGCCCGCGUCUGAUUAGCUAGUUGGUGAGGUAACGGCUCACCAAGGCGACGAUCAGUAGCUGGUCUGAGAGGAUGAUCAGCCACAUUGGGACUGAGACACGGCCCAAACUCCUACGGGAGGCGGCAGUGGGGAAUAUUGGACAAUGGGCGCAAGCCUGAUCCAGCCAUGCCGCGUGAGUGAUGAAGGCCCUAGGGUUGUAAAGCUCUUUUGUGCGGGAAGAUAAUGACGGUACCGCAAGAAUAAGCCCGGCUAACUUCGCGCCAGCAGCCGC
rnacentral:rRNA from 1 species